GGGUGCUCACCCCACGGGGUGGCAGGAUUUGCGUCGGUCGGGCCGCCACG
rnacentral:ncRNA from 2 species